rnacentral:rRNA from 1 species
CACACCGCCGUCACACCAUGGGAGUGAGUUGCUCCAGAAGCCGUUAGUCUAACCGCAAGGAGGACGACGACCACGGAGUGGUUCAUGACUGGGGUG